CAGUCGCCGCGGUAAUACGAAGGGGGCUAGCGUUGCUCGGAAUGACUGGGCGUAAAGGGAGCGUAGGCGGAUCGUUAAGUUGGGGGUGAAAGCCCGGGGCUCAACCUCGGAAUUGCCUUCAAUACUGGCGAUCUUGAGUAUGGAAGAGGUAUGUGGAACUCCGAGUGUAGAGGUGAAAUUCGUAGAUAUUCGGAAGAACACCAGUGGCGAAGGCGACAUACUGGUCCAUUACUGACGCUGAGGCUCGAAAGCGUGGGGAGCAAACAGGAUUAGAUACCCCCGUAGUCCCUGUCUCUUAUAC
rnacentral:rRNA from 1 species